GCCGGCGUAGCUCAGUUGGUAGAGCAGUUCAUUCGUAAUGAAAAGGUCGGGGGUUCGAUUCCCUCCUCCGGCACCG
rnacentral:tRNA from 1 species